rnacentral:rRNA from 1 species
CCUACGGGAGGCUGCAGUGAGGAAUAUUGGUCAAUGGCCGGAAGGCUGAACCAGCCAAGCCGCGUGAAGGAUGACGGUGCCAAGCAUUGUAAACUUCUUUUGUCAAGGAACAAAAUCAGGCUCGAGAGCCUGACCGAGUGUACUUGAAGAAAAAGCAUCGGCUAACUCCGUGCCAGCAGCCGCGGUAAUACGGAGGAUGCGAGCUUUAUCCGGAUUUAUUGGGUUAAAAGGGUGCGUAGGGGGUUGUUUAAGUUAGUGGUUAAACGUCGGGGCUAAACCGUGAUUUGCCAUUAAUACUGUAAGACUCGGGUUCAGAUGAGGUAGGCGGAAUAAGUGAUGUAGCGGUGAAAUGCUUAGAUAUAACUAAGAACUCCGAUAGCGAAGGCAGCUUACCAGACUGCGACUGACGCUGAAGCACGAGAGCGUGGGUAGCGAACAGGAUUAGAUACCCUAGUAGUC